CACGAACGCUGGCGGCGUGCCUAAUACAUGCAAGUCGAGCGCAGGAAACUGACGGAACUCUUCGGAGGGAAGGCAGUGGAAUGAGCGGCGGACGGGUGAGUAACACGUAAGGAACCUGCCUCAAGGAUUGGGAUAACUCCGAGAAAUCGGAGCUAAUACCGGAUAGUUCAACGGACCGCAUGGUCCGCUGAUGAAAGGCGCUCCGGCGUCCCCUUGAGAUGGCCUUGCGGUGCAUUAGCUAGUUGGUGGGGUAACGGCCCACCAAGGCGACGAUGCAUAGCCGACCUGAGAGGGUGAUCGGCCACACUGGGACUGAGACACGGCCCAGACUCCUACGGGAGGCAGCAGUAGGGAAUCUUCCACAAUGGACGAAAGUCUGAUGGAGCAACGCCGCGUGAGUGAUGAAGGUUUUCGGAUCGUAAAACUCUGUUGUAAGGGAAGAACACGUACGAGAGGGAAUGCUCGUACCUUGACGGUACCUUACGAGAAAGCCACGGCUAACUACGUGCCAGCCGCCGCAGUAAAAC
rnacentral:rRNA from 1 species